CCUACGGGAGGCAGCAGUAGGGAAUAUUGGGCAAUGGAGGCAACUCUGACCCAGCCAUGCCGCGUGCAGGAUGAAGGCGUUAUGCGUUGUAAACUGCUUUUAUAUAGGAAGAAAUAGACCUUGCGAGGUAAGUUGACGGUACUAUAUGAAUAAGCACCGGCUAACUCCGUGCCAGCAGCCGCGGUAAUACGGAGGGUGCAAGCGUUGUCCGGAUUUAUUGGGUUUAAAGGGUGCGUAGGCGGUUUAUUAAGUCAGUGGUGAAAGACGGUCGCUCAACGAUUGCAGUGCCAUUGAUACUGGUAGACUUGAGUGAGAUUGAGGUAGCUGGAAUGGAUAGUGUAGCGGUGAAAUGCAUAGAUAUUAUCCAGAACACCAAUUGCGUAGGCAAGUUACUAAGUCUCAACUGACGCUGAGGCACGAAAGUGUGGGUAUCAAACAGGAUUAGAUACCCUGGUAGUCCACACUGUAAACGAUGAUAACUAACUGUUGGCUUUUGGGUCAGUGGUACAGAGAAAUCGUUAAGUUAUCCACCUGGGGAGUACGCCGGNAACGGUGAAACUUAAAUGAAUUGACGGCUGAGAGAGCGACGACGACGACGAGGGAGGAGG
rnacentral:rRNA from 1 species